GCCGGCAUAGCUCAGUUGGUAGAGCAGCUGAUUUGUAAUCAGAAGGUCGUGAGUUCAACUCUUACUGCCGGCACCA
rnacentral:tRNA from 1 species